UUUCACCUUUAUGUUCCACCGCCUUCUCUCUUCUCUAUGAAAUACUAUCCCGUUCAUAUUGUUCGAGUAGUGAAUUCGAAAAUGGUUAAUCUAUUAACUAUAUGUAUGGCGUCUCUCAGAUGUAUCGCGAUUCUCGAUUCUGGAACCAGAGACUUUCUGCAAUCGGGAUGUUAUUACCGAAAACCCUAAUUAUCGCGAAUCUCAAAUCGGGAACCAAACUUUCUGCAAUCGCAGGAGGAACCUUAUGGUGUGAUAUGAUGAAUCAAGGAGGAGUUUCAGACACCAGAACCACACUGGACCAGAAAGUUUCACUUGAGGUGUUUGAUAAAUAACUUUGCCUCUCUCGCCAUGGUUCUAGACAAGUAAUUCCCCCUUCCUCCCCUUCUCAUAGAUUUGAAGCUCUUUGGGUUUUGGUCAAAGUUUGUCAAACGGGUCAAGGCUGGUCAAAACAAGUAAGCACACCAAUUGAGGAGUUUGUUGUGCUGCGAAUCUAUGAAUUGGAGAGUGACGAAGGUAUUGUGGAAGAGGAGAAAUUAUAACCAUGUGGAGAGUGCCGAAGGACUGUGCAAAGUAUUUACACAAGAAGUUUCCGGACAGUAGGCAAGUUGGUGAAAACAUGGGCAAAGUUACUAAUACUAAACAUAUUCUGCACGAGUGUAAAUCCUGAGGCCCUGAGCUAGAAUUGCUUUACACGGUUCAGUGUUAUGAAGAUACAAAAUUGUUGAAAUCAUUUCUUGAAUUGUGACAUCACUAUAUGAUCUAGAUAUUCUUGCUAUGGAUACUUCAUUUUAUUGGUUCCGCAAAAGGAACCAACCCAAAAGGAAGUUAUUAAGGUGGACAUUUGACAUUAUGUAGCCAUACGGGUGUGGAUUUGACAUGCCUGGUACAAUCUGUAGUGGAUUUGACAUGGGCUGUUUUGAUCCAGUAACACGCUCCUUGGUCCAUACGCGCCAGGUGCUUUUGGUCCAUCAGUCGCCGCCAGCUAUAGGGUUGCGAGGCCACCAUUAGUACAUGGUUUAUACUCACCAGAUGCUUAUGGUCUUAUAGUAUUUUCAUUUGGCAUGGUUCCUUAACCAAAUUGGAGUCCUUACUCGUUAUGAGAUGCUGGGACGUGUGAUCUUGGUCGUGUCACCGAGAGCUCAACCAUCUAUAUAUGGUGUGAAUUCUUUGGCCCGACCUUUUGCAGCACAGUUUGGAUGAUAGCAUGUCUGAACCGAAAGAUCUGAGAAACCGUUGGAACGAGAACAGUUGCUCGCAGCUAGAAUCAUGAUUGAAGACGGCCUUUGUGUGCUACUUGAUGUAGAUGACAUUAACUGUCUCUUGCAGUCAACCCAGCCACAAGAUGGAGGUGAAAACAUGGGCAAAGUUACUAAUACUAAACAUAUUCUGCACGAGUGUAAUUCCUGAGGCCCUGAGCUAGAAUUGCUUUACACGGUUCAGUGUUAUGAAGAUACAAAAUUGUUGAAAUCGUUCCUUGAAUUGUGACGUCACUAUAUGAUCUAGAUAUUCUUGCUAUGGAUACUUCAUUUUAUUGGUUCCGCCAAAGGAACCAACCUAAAAGGAAGGUAACACGCUCCUUGGUCCAUACGCGCCAGGUGCUUUUGGUCCAUCAGUCGCCGCCAGCUAUAGGGUUGCGAGGCCACCAUUAGUACAUGGUUUAUACUCACCAGAUGCUUAUGGUCUUAUAGUAUUUUCAUUUGGCAUGGUUCCUUAACCAAAUUGGAGUCCUUACUCGCACAGUUUGGAUGAUAGCAUGUCUGAACCGAAAGAUCUGAGAAACCGUUGGAACGAGAACAGUUGCUCGCAGCUAGAAUCAUGAUUGAAGACGGCCUUUGUGUGCUACUUGAUGUAGAUGACAUUAACUGUCUCUUGCAGUCAACCCAGCCACAAGAUGGAGGUAACACGCUCCUUGGUCCAUACGCGCCAGGUGCUUUUGGUACAUCAGCCACCUGCUGUAGGGUUGCGAGGCCACCAUUAGUACAUGGUUUAUACUCACCAGAUGCUUAUGGUCUUAUAUUUUCAUUUGGCAUGGUUCCUUUACCAAAUUGGAGUCCUUACUCGGUAAGAAAGAAUAUAAUUUAGUUGAAGAUCUGUAUGAAAAAUUAGUUGAAGAUGAUUAAAUUUGUCUCUUGAAGUUGAAGAUGAUGAUUUGAUUAGUUUUAAGAGGCUAUGAAGAUAAGUUAUAAUAUAAACUCAAUUAACUGUUGUGAGUGUUUGGGUAAAACAAGUGAUUUGUGUGUAGAAUGGAUGAGUAUUUUUCAUAUCAUGGCAUGGUUGACAGUGCAAGAUCUUAGAAUGCCAUCUGAAGCUCUUGCGGAUUAUAAAACACCUGAAUUAUAUGAUAUUUUUGAAGCUUUCUUUUUCUCCUCAUCACACACUCAAGUAAGGCAAUGAAGAUGUUCUGCGUAUAAUAUUUGCCUCACCAACAGCAACUAGAACAUCUGUACUUGAGUUGACCAGAAAAUUGACUAUUAAUGGUGAUUCAGUAAUUAACCACUCAUCCCCUACAUCUAGAUGUUUAAGCCAUGAUAAUUCAAAAGAACAAGACGAUUUAGGCUUAGUCGAUGCGCUUGCUGUUGCAAUAUCUAAUGUGAGGAUUUCCGAACCCAAAAGGAGCAGGCUAUGUGUGCCUACAAGUCCAAUUCGAGAGCAACGUUCUUCUAAUGUCACAACUAAUAACCUUUGCAAAGCAUGCUGACCGUUGACUUUGACCUGAAUUGACUUUGACUUACAAACGUGGAGUAACCGUAGAAGCCUAACAAUGCACCGAGAAAGGGUGUGAAAAUGGUGUAUAGUGAAUGUAAAUAUAAUAUAGUACACAACUCAUUGUGCAUCAACGUUUGUCGAUCUAUAGCCAAACUCUACUGUUUUUCUAGAAGUUUUUAAAGUAAGUUUUGGUCUCAAAUUAUAGUAUAGAUACCGAAACAAAUCUUUCAUUA